UACGAAGGGGGCUAGCGUUGCUCGGAAUCACUGGGCGUAAAGCGCACGUAGGCGGCUUUCUAAGUCAGGGGUGAAAUCCUGGAGCUCAACUCCAGAACUGCCUUUGAUACUGGAGAGCUUGAGUCCGGGAGAGGUGAGUGGAACUCCGAGUGUAGAGGUGAAAUUCGUAGAUAUUCGCAAGAACACCAGUGGCGAAGGCGGCUCACUGGACCGGCAUUGACGCUGAGGUGCGAAAGCGUGGGGAGCAAACAGGG
rnacentral:rRNA from 1 species